UGCGCAGGCGGCUUAUUAAGUCAGUGGUGAAAUCUCUCGGCUCAACCGAGAAACUGCCAUUGAAACUGAUAAGCUUGAGUGUAGUUGUAGUAGGCGGAAUAUAGCAUGUAGCGGUGAAAUGCUUAGAUAUGCUAUAGAACACCGAUCGCAAAGGCAGCUUACCAAACCAUUACUGACGCUCAUGCACGAAAGCGUGGGGAGCAAACAGGAUUAGAUACCCUGGUAGUCC
rnacentral:rRNA from 1 species